rnacentral:rRNA from 1 species
UACAGAGGGUGCAAGCGUUAAUCGGAUUUACUGGGCGUAAAGCGCGCGUAGGCGGCUAAUUAAGUCAAAUGUGAAAUCCCCGAGCUUAACUUGGGAAUUGCGCUCGAAACUACGAUGCUCGAGUGUGGCAGAGGAAGGUGGAAUUCCACGUGUAGCGGUGAAAUGCGCAGAUAUCAGGAGGAACACCGGUGGCGAAGGCGGGUCUCUGGGCAAUAACUGACGCUGAGGAGCGAAAGCGUGGGGAGCGAACAGG